rnacentral:lncRNA from 1 species
UUAUGAUUUUAGAACAGGAUUGAGCCUAAGGUUGAUAUGACGGUCUAUUUUAUUUAUUCGCAGGAAGAGAUAAAUGUCAAGUUUCCGAAGAUAAUCAUGAAGGGUGGCGAAAAAUAGAAAAGCCCGUCUCGCUACGAAUCCGGCCCAGGAAAAGGUGCAAACCGACCUAGAGAGAGUAUAUAAGGUGGGCUUAAGGCGAGGAGCAAGAGAGAGCUUUCUCAGAGCAAACUUAAUACUUAGAGCAAUUUAGGCAUUUUUCCGUUUUUACUAUCGAGCUGCGACUCGACUAGGCUAGAACUUAUGUGGCUAGACUAGCGAACGUACAGACAGCUCUCGUGGCCUAGGAUCUUACCUGUUGUUCACGCU